UCAAAGCGUUCGGUUUGGCGUACGCAAAAGCGGCAAAGGCCACAAAAGAAAGUGGAAAAUAAAACAUAAAAUCAUUCUUAUUGUGCUGAAUGCGAAACGUGCGCGAAGUGAGCAGCAGCCCCAUUGGCCAACAGAGUGAAGUAGAAGAAAUUCGUUCGCUUUGGAAAAACGGCAACUCAUGUAAUUAAAGUGCAGAACAAAGAACAAGUGAAAAAUCCAAUUUAAUUAUGAGAUAAUCGUGUAUAAAAUCAGAACCAGAAUCCAAAGCCAAAGCCAAAGCAACAAAGUCAAAGGAUAAUCAAAAAGUGAAAAUACACAACGACAGGCGGCAAAAUAAAUAAAAUCCGCUGAAACCUCACAAAAAAGGCAAAAAAAAAGGAAAAGGGUAAACUUUGGCACGAGAUCGAGAUGCACGACGGGCAACUGGCAACGGCAACGAGCUGCUGCUGCUGCUGCCAAGCGUUGCUCAGUCCUCAAUCCGCUUCCUGUUCCUGCCACGCGUGCCACACGCCCAGGGAUUGAGAGGCAAGCACGUCAGCACUACAUAACUACAUACUAGUACAAACAACAUAUAUUUAUAUAGCGAAAGAUAGAGCGCUACAGUUACGGAUGCGGUUACGGAUAGAUACGCAGAUAGAAACCGUGCAGUUGAGCAGAUACAAACGCAUUUCAUAUUGAACAUGUGCCAAACCAUUGAGCUUGUGUUGUUGUUGCUGUUGUCUGCGACGCUGCCAUUUGAUUUUGGCCAAGUUAAGUAAACAAGUCAACAAUUUUCACACACACACACAAACCCACACACCCGGACAGACUGCUAACAUAAACAAUCAAUAAGGUCAACAAGCGCAACCUCAACAACAGCAAGCUGAGCAACACAUUUGUGUGUGUGUGUGUGUGUUUGGCCCAAUUUCCAAUUAGUUGUUGAACCGCCCGCCUCCCACAAUGGCCGCGCCCAUCGAUGAGAGUGUGCUGAAUGCACUGCGAGGCGUGACCAGCGCCCAAACACGGCUGCCCAAACCGCUGCUGAUCAAGAUCUAUGUGGCCAGCCUCAAGCAGGAAUUCAAUCAGGAGCGUCGCAUGCUUCUCGAACUCGUUGGUCCCGAACUUCAGACGCUCUACGAUGAUCGACAGAUUGAGCUCGAAAUUGUGGACAUGCACUUUGGCACUGGGCCGCUGGAUGUGACGCUGUUGGAACGUGAUCCUUAUAUGCUGCAGGACUUGCUGCACGAGAUUGACACAUGCCACGCGCACUCGAAGAGCGUUUUCUUUAUGGCACUAAUUGGCGAUGGCAUAGGACGUCCACCUCUGCCCACCCACAUCGAUGGGGACAUCUAUGCUGCUCUGCUCGCCGACCAACAGUCGAUGGCAGCCGAUGACAAGGCGCUGCUUGGACGCUGGUAUACAGCGCCAGUGGAGGAGCCAGAGUCGCAGCGUGUGCUCAAACAGGACUAUCGCUCCCUACCCACAGAUGCUUGGCUGACAGAGUCGCGCAACUUAACGUCGUUGUUGGACAAAGGCUUGCAACGUCUGUUGGCCAACUCGAGUGGCGAUUUCUUGCGACGCGUGCAACAGCUGCGACGCACACAAAUCGAACAGGAAGUGCAGCGUGCGAUGUCUCACUCCAGCGAAAAGAUAUUGGCCGUGUUUCGAGAGCGAGCUGCCCAGAGCAGCGGACGCGAUGUCGAGGCCAGUGAACGGCUGCGUAAAAUCAAAGAUGAGCUGACCAUGAACCUAUCAACGGAUAACCACACAACGCUGGUUGUGCCGGGCAGCGCCAGCAGCGAGGCAAUCGAUCCGGACAACGAGGACCACGAGGCGUAUUUAAGUAAAUUCAAGAACAAAGUCACCGACAAGCUGCGCCUGCUAAUCGAGGCGCACAUUACAAAUGAUCCCGACGUAAUCAAGGGGAGGAAAAAGACUGUACAGGAAAUCUUUCAUGAGCAUGCCACACAUCUGCGCAUGCUGCGCGAACACACCGAGAGCGUGGUGCUGCUGGAGUCGCGUGUCCCGGAUCAACUGCGUCAGAAUCUCAUGGCCAAUUUCAGGAACGGCAGUCGCCAUGCUCCGUACUUCAUAUGCGGCACACAUGGCAGCGGCAAGAGCGCACUCAUUAGCACGCUCUAUGGCCAGGUGAGCGGUUGGUUCACCUCAACGCGUGUGCAUCGCGUGAUACGCUUUGCCAAGGCCACGCCGCGCUCUGCGUAUAAUCUCGAGCUGUUGCGUGUGAUUUGCCAGCAGAUCUCGAUUAUAUUCAACAUACCCGAGGGCUAUUUGCCCAAGGAUGCGUCCUUUGAUCCGCUGUACAUCAGCAAUUGGUUUCAGAAUCUCUUGCGUCGCAUUGAGGACAUGAACAACGAUGUGUUGUUUCUAUUCAUCGACGAUCUGCAUCUGCUGAAUCCUCUGGACUGUGACAUUGUAGCCGCACUCUCUUGGCUGCCGACGUCGUUGCCCUGGAAUGUGCAAAUCAUUUGCAGCUCCACAACGCCCGUGGAGCAGCUGAAGUUUACGCCGAUGCAACGUGAUCGCUUCAAGUCCGCCGAGUAUCAGUUUGUUUUGAAUGCGGACACGAAUCUCACACAACUGGAAAAACCAUCGCAAUGCGCUGCAGAUGUUAAUUUCGUUGACUAUGUGGAGCAGCAGUUCGAUGAGCUGGAGCAGCACUAUGGUCGCCAGGCUGUGGCCAGCUUGGCUGCCUACAUCACCUGCUCGGAGUACGGGCUGACAGAGACGGAGCUGCUGGAGCUGCUGAUGCCAACCGAUGAUCCCGAGUCCAUGAUUGACACGCACAGCGGACACUUUAGCUUCGCCAGCUUCAAGAAGAUACACAGUCAAAUGGAUAAGCGUCUGCUGUUGCAUGACAAGAUUAUGUCGGGCAAAGUGUUGAUCCAAUGGCGACACAAUUACUGCUUGGAGGUUGCCAAGCGUCGCUACAUGGAUGCGGACCGCAAACGCAAUCUGCACAUGGAGUUGGCCAAUUUGUUCUUUCCCCAGGACGAAGACGAAAGCACGCUUGAGAAUGAUUCGAGCAAGAGCGAAACAAAGUCCGUCAUCAGCCUCAAGGAACGUGAGCCACACAGGGAUAAAGACAAGGAACGGGAGAAGGACAACGUGUCGGCGGGCCGUAAAUCAUCGUCGACGCACCACAACGACGACACCUCAACAUUUUACAAUCCCAUUGCUGCCGAUGUCUCGUAUAGCAUGCGACACGUCGAGGAGAGCUGGCAUCAUCUUAUGCGCUCCGAUGACACGACUCGCUUCAAGCAAAUCGCAGUCUGCAAUUUUGAUUUCCUGCUCGCGGCGGUGCAAACGGUCUCCAUCAGCUAUCUGCGCUGUCUAAUCGAGCACGUACGCUGCUAUAUACUGGAUCGCGACAUCGAGCUCAUCUAUUACACCAUACGCAAGUCCAGCGAUGUCCUCACCCGUGACCCAAUGCAGUUGGGUUCGCAGCUCAUCUCGUGGCUGCGACCGAUUGGCGAACACGACGACGAUGACAACUCGCUGCUGAGCAUGACCGUGCGAUCGGCCACCGCCUGGUGUGAUGGCUAUGCGGUGCCGUUGCUCGUUCCCCUCACGGGUUGGUUGCCCGCUCCUCUGCCCUCGCAGAUACGCAAUAUGACGGUCACGGGCACCGGCGUGAUACGCGCCGUUUGUCUGGCUCCCUCGAAGCAGCAUCUGAUAUUGGCCACGAAUUCGGGCGAUGUGCAGCAGUGGCACAUUAUGAGCAACUCGCUGGUGCACACAUACAAGGGACACACUGCGGCAGUCACGUGCCUGCUGGUGGCGCCACAGCAAUCGCAGCUACUGCUGACUGGCUCCGAAGAUGCCUCCGUGAUGGUGUGGCACGUGUCGCUGCGCGAGCAACGAGCGCACAUUAAAGCACACACUGCACCAGUGACAGCCGUGGCAGCUGGUGUCAAUAACACGCUCAUCAUCAGCAGCAGCGAGGAUGCAACAAUUGCCAUCACAGACCUGGCCAGCGGCAAAUUGCAACAUCGGAUUACCUUUCAUCGAGGUCCAGUUAGUGGCAUUCUCGUCGCUGGCGCUUGUGAUGUGCUCAUCUCUGGCAGCCAUGACAAGAACAUAUGCGUCUGGGAUCUGGAGAACUAUACGCUGCUCAACACGAUGCAAAUGACGAGUCCAGUGCUACGCAUCGAUAUUUCAUGGAAUUCGGUUUUCCUGUUGGCCCUCUGCGAGGAUAAUGCGCUUUAUGUGCGCACUCUGGCCACGGGCAAGGAGCUGCACACACUCAAGGGCCACAAGUCGCGGAUACGCACCAUUUCGAUUGGCAAGGACAGUCAGCGCUGUGUAGUUGGCUGCGAGGACACUCGUGCCCUCAUCUACGAUAUGCACUCGGGCAAAUUGGUGCGCUCGAUGCCACCGAAUCCGGGUCCCGUUACCGCCGUCUAUGCAAUGGACAAUGAUGAUUUCCUCAUCACUGUCGGCGGCAACAAGAUUACCUUCUACUCCUUCCGCAACGAGGAGCUCUACGUGAAUCCCUACUCGCGUAAUCCGCGACGCAAGCGAAGCCUCAAGCGGCACACUCAGGCUCAGCGCUCGCCCUCGACGACGCUGCCGCCCAUCACCUGCUUCGAUCUGUCCCGGGACUCGCAGCAAUUGGCCAUCGCCUCGGGACGCAAUGUGCAUCUGAUGCGCAUCAAUACUCCAGAAUAUCAGUGCACUCUCGAGGGUCACACGUGCGUGGUGAAUUGCCUGAAAUUCGCACCCAACGGGGAGUUCCUCGUCACCGGCGGCGAUGAUCGUUUGGUUCGGGUGUGGACACUUGCUCUGGGCGAGAUCAUUAACACGUUCAAGGGUCAUGCGGCGCCUGUGAUGCAGCUGAUAGUGCUUAUGGACUCACUGCGUGUGAUCUCCACGGACCGGGAGUCCAUGAUGCUUGUGUGGAUGGCCGACUCGGGCAAUGUGCUGCAGACGAUUCAGGGUCCCUACAAGAGUCUCGCGGCCACCAACAACAUGCGCUUUGCCGUCUCCACGAAUGGCGAUAACACUCUCAAGAUUUGGUCCCUUACCCAGGAGGAUGAGAAGUUCUCCGUUUCGCAUUCGGAUGAGAUCACCUGCUUUGAGAUCAGCGCCGACAGCAUGCACAUCAUAACCGGCUCCAGGGAUAUGUCGCUCAAGGUCUGGCAAUCGGUUGGUGGAAAGCUGAGCCAGGUGCUUGUGGGUCACAGCGAUGCUGUCACCUGUGUGGCCGUCUCGGUGACCAACAAGACGCAAGUCAUCUCGGGCUCGAAGGACACGAAUCUACUCAUCUGGGAUCUGCUCACUGGCGAGGAGGUGCACACUCUAGCUGGACAUUUGGGUCCUGUGCUUGGCGUCAAAGUGUCUGCAGAUGGUUCCACGGCUGUUUCUGGCAGCGAUGACAAGACGCUCAUUGUGUGGGAAACGAAGCGCGGCCUGGCUUUGACCUCGCUGCAGAUGCACGUGCCCUUCACCCACUUUGACAUCAGCUUGGAGGUGUCACGUGUGCUCGUCCAGCUCGUCGACAGCUACAAUCUGCCCGUCAUCUGUCUGCACAAUACGCCAGCCCAGUACGUGAAGCUGCCCACCUACUCGGGUCCGAGCAAAGAUGUCGAGGACUUGCGACCGCAGGGCCCCAAGCGUCAGAUGAAGCGGCUGCUCAAGAAGGAAGUCUCCCUGGACACGUACACCUGGCAGAAGAAGUACGGUCACUUGACCUCAUCGGUGAUGAUGGCCCAGGUGGAUGAGCGCCUUAAGCGACGCUUCAGUGUCUCGGCCAGCAUGGAGGAGAUCUCCAAGAUAGCCGAAACGAAGACGGGCGCCUCGCAGGCCAAUCUGGGACCGGAGCAAGCGGCGCUGGCACAAUCCCAGCACUUUGAUCAAUUGGAGGCGUUGUGGAACAAACGUUCGCCCCCGAGACGUCGUCACAAUGCGGGUCUAUCGCGCCAGACGUCGCUGGUGGAGGACCGGUUAGAGUCCUCCGAUGACGAUGAGUAUCAGGAUGAGCGUGCAGCCAGCGCCAGUUCCCGCAACUCAUUGCAUCAGUAAAAAUAAGCAACAACAACAACUGCAACUGCAACAACAACGUCAACAGCUGCAAAUAAAUAUAAUUAAAAGCCAGCGUAGUUAAAGUAAUCAAAUCAACAACAUUUCUACCAACUACCAUUUCCCACGUUAGUUAAAACUACGAUUAAAGUCGAAAGUUUGUGACUUUUCCGCCUUCCAAAAACCACCACAAGAACAACAAACAACAAACAGCAACAAGAACAACAACAACCAAACCUAGAAAAUAAUUCGUACUUUAUUAGUUUCACUAGUUGGCAUGGAAAACAAGUCUUGCAAAUAUUCCCAGCACUUGAAAUCUCGUACUUAAUCUAAUUGUGAGUGUAAAGGAAUUAACUUCAUUAGACUGAAGUUCUGAGCACCUCCUGAAUAUUAAAUGCGAAACACUUUCUACAGCUGACUUAAUUUUUGAACAUUUUGUGUGCUUUCUAGACGACUUCGACGAGUUUUUCUAAGCUUAAAAAUAAAAAACUUGUACUCGAUACACAUUAUCCGCAUUACCUUUCGUACUUACAAGCAUUACCUCACUGCAAGUGCUGAAUAAUUUUUGAGAGCUCUACAAAAAAUAUAUAUCUACUUAUUGAAUAAUCAACUUAUAUAAAAAGGGGCCGCAUAAAGCGCAAUGAAAUAAAUAAUUAUCUACACUGAACAUAAUGCAAAACAAUAUAAGCAUAUAUUAGAUUGUACUUAGUUGUCGUCCUCGCACAUGGAAGAGAAGAUAAUGUCGGAAUUGUUCAAAUCAUUUCGCUACAGGAGGAGGAGGAUACCACAAAGGAUAAGCUGUAAGGCAAACUGUUCUCUGGCAAACCGACAACCUAAAAGAAAUCGUUAAUUAAUCUAGUCAAAUAAGUAAAUGUUUUAAAUGGUAAGCAAUAAUUAUGAGCAACUUGCUUCAAUUUUCACACACUCUCCCUCAGUGAUCUAUGAACUUGAUUGAAUUUAUACUUUCUGCCUGGCAAGUAAGAGAAAGAUUCGGGUUUAGAGAGUGAUUUUUGAUUGAACGAUUGAAGGAUGCUCGCACUUGGCAUAUACUCGAGUUAAACUCAACUAUUGUUUCUACUUAUUAGGUCUCCCGCAACCCUUUAUUAGAUCCCUUUCCCUGUAGUCUGUAGUCUCUAAAAGCAAAAACCACCGUCUCAGACUUUGUAGAAUCUAGCAUUGUAAGAGAGCCAUUUUGACAUUUUAAUGUUGUAGAACGUUUUAUGUAUGUACUUACAAACAAUACAAAACCAAAAAGAGAAAACUUGAGCUAAAUGUUGUUGAUAAUAUACGAGUAAAAACAUUUUUAGUAUGUAGAAGCGUUGAAAAAAUACAAAAAAAACAAAAAAACAAAUAAAUUACAACCACAAACUUGAAGGGGUUAAAAGCGUAACUAUGCUUAAAAAAUCAUUAAACAAAAACAAAGUAAAUAAAUACAAACAAAUAAAACUGUAUUUGCCACACUGAAAUGCCACAUAUGCUGAAUAGUAUCCAAAGUAUAAAUUUAUACAUAAUGUUUUAUCCAACGAACGUGAAAUCUUAAAGAAAAAAAACAAUUUAAAACAAAAAACAAUUGACGCACAGUUUAAUUGCAUUUCGUUUUCGGCAUUGUAAAUAUUAAGUGUGUAUAUCUUGCGAACUUGUUUAAUCACAUAUCCAUAUCCUCAGCAAAGCUUUCAAAUUGUUUAACUUAACUUCUGUUCAAAGCACACUAAAUUAAGUUCUAUUUUCGUUUCUGUACGCACCUUAGAUAACUUCAAUAACUAUCUGACAAUCAGAAGUUCUUGUCUAGAACAAAAAAAAACAAAACAAAAUAAAAGAUAGACAAAAAACCAAAAAAAAA